rnacentral:rRNA from 1 species
GGGCUUUGUUUGCGCAGGAUAGGUGGGAGGCGUUGAAAGUUUUCUCGCGGGAAGAUUUGAGCCAUUGGUGAGAUACCACUCUAACAAUGCUAGGAUUCUAACCCUAUGUCGUUAUCCGGCUAGGGGACAGUUUCAGGUGGUCAGUUUGACUGGGGCGGUCGCCUCCUAAAAGGUAACGGAGGCGUGCAAAGGUUCCCUCAGGCUGGUUGGAGAUCAGUCGUAGAGUGUAAAGGCAUAAGGGAGCUUGAUUGUGAGACCUACAAGUCGAACAAAGACGAAAGUCGGCCUUAGUGAUCCGGCGGUACCGAGUGGAAGGGCCGUCGCUCAACGGAUAAAAGUUACUCUAGGGAUAACA